GAAAUUCUAGUUAACCAAUAACAAUGUCUUGUCAAGUCAUAAUUACUUACCAAAGUGAAUUUCU
rnacentral:tRNA from 1 species